UGCAUUGCUCCUCUGUCAUCAUUGCUGUGGAUCUUGCUUGCCAAUACAAGCUGUGUUCUACCUGAAACAAACUGGCACAAAUAAAAUACUGGAGAUCAAGGGGAUUUAAACACUCACUUGCAUCAACAUCUUUAGACCAGAAACCAAUUCUUUAUAACAACAAAUUUCCAAUUGUCAGGCAGGAUGAUGAUUUAUAAUGUAG